rnacentral:rRNA from 1 species
UACAGAGGUCUCAAGCGUUGUUCGGAAUCACUGGGCUUAAAGGGCGCGUAGGCGGGUGCUCAAGUCCGGGGUGAAAUCCUCCAGCUCAACUGGAGAACUGCCUCGGAUACUGGGUGCCUCGAGGGUGGUAGGGGUAUGCGGAACUAUCGGUGGAGCGGUGAAAUGCGUUGAUAUCGAUAGGAACUCCGGUGGCGAAGGCGGCAUACUGGACCACAUCUGACGCUGAGGCGCGAAAGCCAGGGGAGCAAACGGG